ensembl:lncRNA
GUACCCUCAUGUGGUCACGUCUGCCCUGUGACGGUUGGGAGAACUACAGGCUAUCUGGACUGGAUUCUGCUGCGGAGCAACUAAAAGAGCCUUAACAUCAUGGAGGAAUUGGAUGAUGUUACUGUUUCAGUUCUAAAUGCUGCCAGCAUAGAUGAGGCCUUACUCCACACCCUCAGUCGGGAUGAUUUAAGAGACCUUUUUCCAGAGAACUUUCUCAGGAGGAAACAACUGUGGGCUCUUAUUAGCCAUGAGGAUGAGAAUGCCACUUUACCAGACAAAGCUGGCCCAGGUGAAACAGGAACUGUGUCAUCACUUCAAGGAUCACCUCCAGUAUCCCCCCACACAUCCACUCCUGUGUUGAAGAAAACCUUACAGCUUCCUAGUCCACCAGAAUAUGUUAUAUACACAGACACUGAGUUGGAACUGGCUCGUAAGCACCAUUUUGAGAUAGGUAGAGAGGGGGAAUCUGUAAUGUCUAAAGAGUUGAGAUGCAGGCUGGUGAGGAACACUGUUACCAGCAUGAUCUCAAUCUUAAGAGCAAGUCAACAAGGAGAGGAGCUCCGGUACCCCUCUAAGCAUGAGGUCACCGCAAUGGCUAAGAGACUAGUGGAGUAUUAUCCCAUGCUACAGGAUAAAGAUGAACCCAUCAAACAUAUGAGCAUGUACAGUUAUCUUCAGAAGAGAAUUCUGAAUGUGAAGUCCCCACAGAAGAGGAAGGGGCCCAGACCAGAGAGAAGCAGUUCAACCAAAAGACGUCACAUUGACUUCUCUCCAAGUGACCAGGGAGAAGAUUAUGAUGCAGACUCAAGUGGUGGAUCAACAAUUCUUUUGCCACCUAGGGGCAGUUCUGAAGACGACAGUUCAGCGGACAAAGAUAGUCCGGCAGCACAGGCCAGGCAUUACAAGACUCUGCAGGAGAUGUACAAAAAACCAAAACCCAACCAAGAUGCUGUCUGCCAGAUCCUUGACCUUGAGUUUCAAUCAAGAAGAGCCUUCAUUGACAGUGGCAUUCUGAAAGAAGAGGACAGACCAGCAAAGAUUUUCGAGGCAUAUCCAUGUUUCAAAGAGCUUCAUCAUGUGAUGGAUGAGCUGCGGCGGAUUCUGGCUAAGGACAACAGCAAGUUCAUCAAUGAAGUAAAGAAGAGAUGGGCCGACUUCUGCUCCAUGGUGCAGUUUUAUGGUGUUUGGAGGAAAGUGUUGAAGCCACCCAUGAGCCUGGGUGCAGUGGAAUCCAACAUUGCCUUGUUCAGGGCACUACCCACACUCUUCCCCUCACCGUCUGCGCCACCUAAGAAGAUGGGACAGGCCAGUGAGGCAUUGCUUCAUGUCCUUCAGCCAACAGAAGAGCCAGCCAUCUACCUCCAGAAGAGAACCCUCUUCAGCCCUGUUUUGGUCUUUGAUGGGUCCCGCUGUCUUCUGGCAAUUGGAAACACUCCUGUCACUACAUUUGCCAAAGAAGAACUUGGUGAAGGGUUGCUGUAUCUGAUGGGUUAUUACUAUACCCUGCAUCUCACCUAUCCUAAGUGUGUGGCGACCAUUCUCUCUGUCAUUCAGACAGAGGUCUUAAGCCCAGUUCAGACCAAAGAUUCACCUUGCAACGGCUUGCAACGAGACGGUUUUAGAACGUCGCAGGGGCGGUGUGAACGGGUCGUUGCAAGCCGUUGCAAGCCGUUGCAAGGCGUCGCAAGGCGUCGCAAGGAGUCGCCAGAGAUUGAACAUGUCAAAUCGCAAGGUCCAGUUUUAGAACGCGGCGAUUUAACUAUUCCUCUUCAGCCAAUCACAGCACAGAAC